GAUAUACCGGGUUUGAUCCUGGCUCAGAGUGAACGCUAGGGGUACGCAUAACACAUGCGAGUCAACGUAUCGUGGCGAACGGGUGAGUACAGCAGGCAAUUACGCCCGGUAGCCCAGAAUAAAUUCUGGAUAAAAAGAUUAAUCGUUGCCGGAUAUGUCUGUGUAGGAUUAGAUAAUCGUAGAGAGUCGAUGAUCCUUAGUUGAUCUGGGAAGGAUGCACAGCCACAUUGGAACUGAGACAAGGUCCAAGCUCCAGUAGGAGGCAGCAGUGAGGAAUAUUGGGCAAUGGGCGAAAGCCUGACCCAACGAUACCCCGUGAUUGAAGAAGACCAAGGUCGUAAAGGUACGCGGUCAGUAAAGAUUACGACGGUAACUGGCCAAAAAGCCCCGGCUAACUCCGUGCCAGCAGCCGCGGUAAUACGGGGGGGGCAAGUGUUAUUCGCAAUGACUGGGCGUAAAGCGUGCGUAGGCGGCUUGCAAUUAGGCCUUUUGCGAAAGGCUAGGGCUCAACCUUAGUGUGACUUUUGGCACAGCAAGCUAGAGUUUGGUAGGGGUUGGUAGAAUUCUCAGAAGAGGGGUACAAUCCAGGGACACUGAGACGAAUACCUAGGGCGAAGGCAGCCAACUGGACCAUACUGACGCUAAAGCACGGAAGCGUAGGUAGCAAAUAGGAUUAGAUACCCUAGUAGUCUACGCCGUCAACGAUGGGUAUUGGCAAUUAAAUUGCUAAGCUAACGCGUUAAAUACCCCGCCUGGGGAGUACGGUCGCAAGAUUAAAACUUAAAGGAAUUGACGGGAGCUUGCGCAAGCGGUGGGGCAUGCGGUUUAAUCCGAUAUUACACGUAAAAUCUUACCAACCCUUGAACAAACAGGUGUUGCAUGGCUGUCGUCAGCCCGUGUCGUAAGAUGUUUGGUUAACUCCUUUAACGGGCGUAACCCCUCUCUUCGGAGCACCGCUGUUGAAAUAACAGGGGGAGGUAGGGAUCACGCCAAGUCGUCAUGGCCCUGAUGGGUUGGGCUACACAUGUGUCACAUAGUUGCAUACAGCGAGAGGCAAAGACAAAAGUCGGAGCAAUCUAUAACGUGCAACCCAGUUCGGAUUAUCUCCUGCAACUCGGAGAUAUGAAGGCGUAAUCGCUAGUAAUCGCGUAUCAUAAUGGCGCGGUGAAUACGUGAUCAAGCUUUGUACACACCGCCCGUCACGCCCGGAAAGUCAGCUUUGCUUGAAUGGUUCGCAGUGAUCGCUUGCUUCGUGAAGCGUAACUGUCUCUUGAUAGUGGGGUCGAUGAUCGGGGCGAAGUCGUAACAAGGUAGCUGUAGGGGAACCUGUAGCUGGAGAAAAAUUGAU
rnacentral:rRNA from 1 species